rnacentral:rRNA from 1 species
GACGAACGCUGGCGGCGUGCUUACCACAUGCAAGUCGAACGAUGAAGCCUAGCUUGCUAGGUGGAUUAGUGGCGAACGGGUGAGUAAUACGUGAGUAACCUACCUUUAACUCUGGGAUAAGCCUGGGAAACCGGGUCUAAUACCGGAUACGACCAAUCUCCGCAUGGGUGUUGGUGGAAAGCGUUAUGUAGUGGUUAUAGAUGGGCUCACGGCCUAUCAGCUUGUUGGUGAGGUAACGGCUCACCAAGGCGACGACGGGUAGCCGGCCUGAGAGGGUGACCGGCCACACUGGGACUGAGACACGGCCCAGACUCCUACGGGAGGCAGCAGUGGGGAAUAUUGCACAAUGGGCGCAAGCCUGAUGCAGCGACGCCGCGUGAGGGAUGACGGCCUUCGGGUUGUAAACCUCUGUUAGCAGGGAAGAAGAGAGAUUGGCGGUACCUGCAGAGAAAGCGCCGGCUAACUACGUGCCAGCAGCCGCGGUAAUACGUAGGGCGCGAGCGUUGUCCGGAAUUAUUGGGCGUAAAGAGCUUGUAGGCGGUUUGUCGCGUCUGCUGUGAAGGCCGGGGCUUAACCCCGUGUAUUGCAGUGGGUACGGGCAGACUAGAGUGCAGUAGGGGAGACUGGAAUUCCUGGUGUAGCGGUGGAAUGCGCAGAUAUCAGGAGGAACACCGAUGGCGAAGGCAGGUCUCUGGGCUGUAACUGACGCUGAGAAGCGAAAGCAUGGGGAGCGAACAGGAUUAGAUACCCUGGUAGUCCAUGCCGUAAACGUUGGGCACUAGGUGUGGGGGACAUUCCACGUUUUCCGCGCCGUAGCUAACGCAUUAAGUGCCCCGCCUGGGGAGUACGGCCGCAAGGCUAAAACUCAAAGAAAUUGACGGGGGCCCGCACAAGCGGCGGAGCAUGCGGAUUAAUUCGAUGCAACGCGAAGAACCUUACCAAGGCUUGACAUAUACUGGACCGCAUCAGAGAUGGUGUUUCCCUUCGGGGCUGGUAUACAGGUGGUGCAUGGUUGUCGUCAGCUCGUGUCGUGAGAUGUUGGGUUAAGUCCCGCAACGAGCGCAACCCUCGUUCUAUGUUGCCAGCACGUUAUGGUGGGGACUCAUAGGAGACUGCCGGGGUCAACUCGGAGGAAGGUGGGGAUGACGUCAAAUCAUCAUGCCCCUUAUGUCUUGGGCUUCACGCAUGCUACAAUGGCCGGUACAGAGGGUUGCGAUACUGUGAGGUGGAGCUAAUCCCUAAAAGCCGGUCUCAGUUCGGAUUGGGGUCUGCAACUCGACCCCAUGGAGUCGGAGUCGCUAGUAAUCGCAGAUCAGCAACGCUGCGGUGAAUACGUUCCCGGGCCU